AUUGAACGCUGGCGGCAUGCUUUACACAUGCAAGUCGAACGGCAGCGCGGGCUUCGGCCUGGCGGCGAGUGGCGAACGGGUGAGUAAUGCAUCGGAACGUGCCCAGUAGUGGGGGAUAGCCCGGCGAAAGCCGGAUUAAUACCGCAUACGACCUGAGGGUGAAAGCGGGGGACCGAAAGGCCUCGCGCUAUUGGAGCGGCCGAUGUCGGAUUAGCUAGUUGGUGGGGUAAAGGCUUACCAAGGCGACGAUCCGUAGCUGGUCUGAGAGGACGACCAGCCACACUGGGCCUGAGCCACGGCCCAGACCCCUACGGGAGGCAGCGGUGGGAAAUUUUGAACAAUGGGGCAACCCUGAUCCAGCCAUGCCGCGUGCGGGAAGAAGGCCUUCGGGUUGUAAACCGCUUUUGUUCGGGAAGAAAUCCUCUGGGCUAAUACCCCGGGGGGAUGACGGUACCGGAAGAAUAAGCACCGGCUAACUACGUG
rnacentral:rRNA from 1 species